GUAGACGUUAGCUCAGUGGUUAGAGCACAGGCCUGAUCUGGCUCUUGGGUCCGCGAGUUCGAGUCACGUCGUCUACU
rnacentral:tRNA from 1 species